rnacentral:rRNA from 1 species
ACGGAAGGCAGCAGUAGGGAAUCUUCCACAAUGGGCGAAAGCCUGAUGGAGCAACGCCGCGUGUGUGAUGAAGGGUUUCGGCUCGUAAAACACUGUUGUAAGAGAAGAAUGACAUUGAGAGUAACUGUUCAAUGUGUGACGGUAUCUUACCAGAAAGGAACGGCUAAAGACGUGACAGCAGCCGCGGUAAUACGUAUGUUCCAAGCGUUAUCCGGAUUUAUUGGGCGUAAAGCGAGCGCAGACGGUUAGUUAAGUCUGAAGUGAAAGCCAUCAGCGCAACUGAGGAAUUGCUUUGGAAACUGGAUGACUUGAGGGCAGUAGGGGAAAGUGGAACUCCAUGUGUAGCGGUGAAAUGCGUAGAUAUAUGGAAGAACACCAGUGGCGAAGGCGGCUUACUGGACUGUAACUGACGUUGAGGCUCGAAAGUGUGGGUAGCAAACAGGAUUAGAUACCCUGGUA